rnacentral:rRNA from 1 species
CAGCAGCCACGGGAAAACGGAGGGUGCGAGCGUUAAUCGGAAUAACUGGGCGUAAAGGGCACGCAGGCGGUUAUUUAAGUGAGGUGUGAAAGCCCCGGGCUUAACCUGGGAAUUGCAUUUCAGACUGGGUAACUAGAGUACUUUAGGGAGGGGUAGAAUUCCACGUGUAGCGGUGAAAUGCGUAGAGAUGUGGAGGAAUACCGAAGGCGAAGGCAGCCCCUUGGGAAUGUACUGACGCUCAUGUGCGAAAGCGUGGGGAGCAAACAGGAUUAGAUACCCCAGUAGUCCCUGUCUCUUAUAC